CCUACGGGAGGCAGCAGUGAGGAAUAUUGGUCAAUGGACGCAAGUCUGAACCAGCCAUGCCGCGUGCAGGAAGACGGCUCUAUGAGUUGUAAACUGCUUUUGUACGAGGGUAAACGCAGAUACGCGUAUCUGUCUGAAAGUAUCGUACGAAUAAGGAUCGGCUAACUCCGUGCCAGCAGCCGCGGUAAUACGGAGGAUUCAAGCGUUAUCCGGAUUUAUUGGGUUUAAAGGGUGCGUAGGCGGUCGGAUAAGUUAGAGGUGAAAUCCCGAGGCUCAACUUCGGAAUUGCCUCUGAUACUGUUCGACUAGAGAGUAGUUGCGGUAGACGGAAGGUAUGGUGUAGCGGUGAAAUGCUUAGAGAUCAUACAGAACACCGAUUGCGAAGGCAGCUUACCAAGCUACUUCUGACGUUGAGGCACGAAAGCGUGGGGAGCAAACAGGAUUAGAUACCCGUGUAGUC
rnacentral:rRNA from 1 species